ensembl:lncRNA
GCCCGACUCCACCUGCAAGUGGAUCACAGACUUCCUGUCUGACAGGAAGCAGCACGUGAAGCUGGGGAAACAUGUCUCAGCCUCUCGGACCAUCAGCACCGGUUCCCCCCAAGGCUGCGUUCUUUCCCCUCUGCUCUUCUCCCUGUACACCAACAGCUGCACCUCCAGCCACCAGUCCGUCAAGCUCCUGAAGUUUGCGGAUGACACCACCCUCAUUGGACUGAUCUCUGGUGGGGACGAGUCCGCCUACAGGUGGAGUCUGACCAUCUGGUGUCGUGGUGCAGCCAGAACAACCUGGAGCUCAACGCUCUAAAGACAGUGGAGAUGGUUGUGGAUUUCAGGAAGAACAGAGUCCCACCCUCCCCC